rnacentral:rRNA from 1 species
AUGGAGUGCGCUGCUAUACAUGCAGUCGAGCGGACAGAAGGGAGCUUGCUCCCGGAUGUUAGCGGCGGACGGGUGAGUAACACGUGGGUAACCUGCCUGUAAGACUGGGAUAACUCCGGGAAACCGGAGCUAAUACCGGAUAGUUCCUUGAACCGCAUGGUUCAAGGAUGAAAGACGGUUUCGGCUGUCACUUACAGAUGGACCCGCGGCGCAUUAGCUAGUUGGUGAGGUAACGGCUCACCAAGGCGACGAUGCGUAGCCGACCUGAGAGGGUGAUCGGCCACACUGGGACUGAGACACGGCCCAGACUCCUACGGGAGGCAGCAGUAGGGAAUCUUCCGCAAUGGACGAAAGUCUGACGGAGCAACGCCGCGUGAGUGAUGAAGGUUUUCGGAUCGUAAAGCUCUGUUGUUAGGGAAGAACAAGUGCAAGAGUAACUGCUUGCACCUUGACGGUACCUAACCAGAAAGCCACGGCUAACUACGUGCCAGCAGCCGCGGUAAUACGUAGGUGGCAAGCGUUGUCCGGAAUUAUUGGGCGUAAAGGGCUCGCAGGCGGUUUCUUAAGUCUGAUGUGAAAGCCCCCGGCUCAACCGGGGAGGGUCAUUGGAAACUGGGAAACUUGAGUGCAGAAGAGGAGAGUGGAAUUCCACGUGUAGCGGUGAAAUGCGUAGAGAUGUGGAGGAACACCAGUGGCGAAGGCGACUCUCUGGUCUGU